CUGAAGAACUCUAAGUUACGUUUACCUGAUGACUAAACAUCCAUGUACUGUCUUUAAAGGAGUCUAUUCAGGUAUGUCGGAACCAUUGGCCUCUUUGUAGCCAUUAGGAGGCAUGAGCAGUUGAUAAGGCAUGCACAUUUACAGUGAAGGGCUCAUGAGGUGCUCCUGACUUUGGAAUGAAAAUUUUAACUAAGAUAUAUAUUGCUAUAAGAACCCCCUGAAAUCUCAAUGAAUGUUCUAUUUGUAUUUCCAUAAUGAUCUUGUCUGAACAUUUCCAUCGGGGAGGAUGGCAUCAAGAGGCAUGCUUAGAGAAAGGUUCUAAAACUUAGCAAGAAAACUACUGAUUAAAAAAUUAAGCAAGUUCUUGAAAAUCUGUUUCUCCAAAGAAGAUCUACAAAUGGGAAAUAAGCAAUUGCCCAAGAACACCAGCAAUUGGGGAAGAACCAGUCAAAGUCAUGACAGGAGUCCACUUCACAGCUACUGCAGAGGUUGCUUUUAAAAGAAGAAAGAAAUGACAAAAGUCUACAAGUAACAAAAUUCUGUAUGUUCUUAAACUGAAGUUCUUACCAGAGGGUCCGCAACAUAGCCACACAGAAUGCCAUUAACAGCAGAGUCCAUCGCGGUGGCCAUGGGUUUGCAGGAUGUCAUCUUCUCUGUGAUCUGUGGGACAGGAAACAACAAGGAAGCGUUCACUGACUCGGGCUCAAAAAAAAAAAAAUCAUGCCAUAAGUCAGGGCCCCCCUGGCUGAAUUCACAAGAGCAUCUUCAAGUCCUGGAAGCCAUGAGGGCUGACAGCUACUGAGCCCUGAGGAGUUGUAUAGCCGAUACAAUUACAUUUGUAGCAAGACACUUAGUCCUCAUGAGUUCCAGUUCUCCUCAUUUGUUGUCUGGAAUCCUAAGGCCCAUCCUACAGAACUGCCGGGAGAACCAAUGAGCACACAUGCCCAGCCUAGGGCUAUCAUGGACUGUUAGCUGAUGAAGGAGUGGGUAACAAAUGAAAGGUGCCAUUCAGCAAAGGUUGAAGGGGGCCAACUGAGGCUGGUCUGUUUCGCAGAGCAACUUUUCCACAUUUGCACCAACAACAAACGUAAGAACCACAAGGAUCAUCAAUAUCCAGCAAAAAAGGAAGCCGAAUCCAACCCCACUGGAAACACAAGCGAC
rnacentral:lncRNA from 1 species